UACGUAGGGUGCAAGCGUUAAUCGGAAUUACUGGGCGUAAAGCGUGCGCAGGCGGUGAUGUAAGACAGGUGUGAAAUCCCCGGGCUUAACCUGGGAACUGCAUUUGUGACUGCAUCGCUGGAGUGCGGCAGAGGGGGAUGGAAUUCCGCGUGUAGCAGUGAAAUGCGUAGAUAUGCGGAGGAACACCGAUGGCGAAGGCAGUCCCCUGGGCCUGCACUGACGCUCAUGCACGAAAGCGUGGGGAGCAAACAGG
rnacentral:rRNA from 1 species